rnacentral:misc_RNA from 1 species
ACAAACUUGGUCAUUUAGAGGAAGUAAAAGUCGUAACAAGGUUUCCGUAGGUGAACCUGCGGAAGGAUCAUUAACAAAUCCGUGCCCGCUCCGGCGGCACAUAUGCUCCGCGCGUUGCAAGACGCGCGUGACACAUUUUACCGUUUGUCCGAAGGGUUCUGUGCGGCGUCACGUUGGUGUCAUAUACAUUCGUGUUGUAUAUUAUAUAUAAUGACACUCAUUGCAUGUGUGCCAUCGUGUCCCGCCGGGACAGCAACAGAAAACAAAACAACUUUUAACAAUGGAUCUCUAGGCUCCUGCAUCGAUGAAGAACGCAGC